UACAGGCGGGCAAGCGUUGUCGGAAUUAUUGGGCGUAAAGAGCUCGUAGGCGGCUUGUCACGUCGGAUGUGAAAGCCCGAGGCUUAACCUCGGGUCUGCAUUCGAUACGGGCUAGCUAGAGUGUGGUAGGGGAGAUCGGAAUUCCUGGUGUAGCGGUGAAAUGCGCAGAUAUCAGGAGGAACACCGGUGGCGAAGGCGGAUCUCUGGUACGUGACUGACGCUGAGACGCGAAAGCGUGGGGAGCAAACAGG
rnacentral:rRNA from 1 species